CAAGCCGAUUUUAUUUAACGAAUAAGAAGGCAAAAAAUGCAAAGAAAAAAACGCAAGCAACCGGUUGCAAUUUUUUUCUCGCAUUCCGUAAUGCUUUUUAAGAGAGUUUUUAAUCGAAAAUGUUAUAAAAGCAGACAACAUCCACACAUAUGAAUUAUAAAAACGUCCAAAAUGGACGUUAAAGAGGGAGAAGAUUAGAAGAGAUUAAAAAAAUAAUAUUCGAGCAAGAAAGGUCAAGUGCCAUUUAAUUGAGACAUGGUUGCAAUAGUAGGACGAGAGUUCAGGUGGAAAUAAAAGUCUGAAUUGCAUUUUAAGCCGGACAGACAGACAGAUGGAGUGAUGAACGUUUGAAGAAUUACUAAAGAUAUUUAUACAAGUCUGAAAUGUAGCUGGAAUUUGGAGUUGGAGCCGGCUCAGUAUGCAGUAAGCGAAUUUGAGACGAGACGCUGGAAAAUAUGUUAAUGAUGUGAAUAUCGGAAGAAUAUGAGUUUAUGUCAUACA